rnacentral:rRNA from 1 species
UACGAAGGGGGCUAGCGUUGCUCGGAAUCACUGGGCGUAAAGGGUGCGUAGGCGGGUCUUUAAGUCAGGGGUGAAAUCCUGGAGCUCAACUCCAGAACUGCCUUUGAUACUGAAGAUCUUGAGUUCGGGAGAUGUGAGUGGAACUGCGAGUGUAGAGGUGAAAUUCGUAGAUAUUCGCAAGAACACCAGUGGCGAAGGCGGCUCACUGGCCCGAUACUGACGCUGAGGCACGAAAGCGUGGGGAGCAAACAGG